rnacentral:rRNA from 1 species
ACCCACGGAAACGUGAGCUAAUACCGGAUAUCUCAUUUCCUCUCCUGAGGAGAUGAUGAAAGACGGAGCAAUCUGUCACUUGCGGAUGGGCCUGCGGCGCAUUAGCUAGUUGGUGAGGUAACGGCUCACCAAGGCGACGAUGCGUAGCCGACCUGAGAGGGUGAACGGCCACACUGGGACUGAGACACGGCCCAGACUCCUACGGGAGGCAGCAGUAGGGAAUCUUCCGCAAUGGGCGAAAGCCUGACGGAGCAACGCCGCGUGAGUGAUGAAGGUUUUCGGAUCGUAAAGCUCUGUUGCCAGGGAAGAACGUCCGGUAGAGUAACUGCUAUCGGAGUGACGGUACCUGAGAAGAAAGCCCCGGCUAACUACGUGCCAGCAGCCGCGGUAAUACGUAGGGGGCAAGCGUUGUCCGGAAUUAUUGGGCGUAAAGCGCGCGCAGGCGGUCAUUUAAGUCUGGUGUUUAAGGC